GAUGAACGCUGGCGGCGUGCCUAAUACAUGCAAGUCGAGCGAACGGACGAGAAGCUUGCUUCUCUGAUGUUAGCGGCGGACGGGUGAGUAACACGUGGAUAACCUACCUAUAAGACUGGGAUAACUUCGGGAAACCGUAGCUAAUACCGGAUAAUAUUUUGAACCGCAUGGUUCAAAAGUGAAAGACGGUCUUGCUGUCACUUAUAGAUGGAUCCGCGCUGCAUUAGCUGGUUGGUAAGGUAACGGCUUACCAAGGCAACGAUGCAUAGCCGACCUGAGAGGGUGAUCGGCCACACGGGAACUGAGACACGGUCCAUACUCCUACGGGAGGCAGCAGUAGGGGAUCUUCCGCAAUGGGCGGAAGCCUGACGGAGCAACGCCGCGUGAGUGAUGAAGGUCUUCGGAUCGUAAAACUCUGUUAUUAGUGAAGAACAGAUGUGUAAGUAACUGUGCACAUCUUGACGGUACCUAAUCAGAAAGCCACGGCUAACUACGUG
rnacentral:rRNA from 1 species